CAUUGGCCCUGGGUCAGCGCAGGGGCGCCGGCCUGGCUGCGGUUCCGAGUCGGGCGCGCGCCGGCAGGGUUCCCAUUGCCAGCGGCGCAGCCAGACUAGGGGCUGCCCUCCGCCUUCUCGCCAUGGACGCGGACGACUCCCGGGACACCAAGGGCUCCUUGCGGAAGUUCCUGGAGCACCUCUUCGGGGCCCGCAAGGCCAUCGGCGUGCUGACCAGCGGCGGGGAUGCUCAAGGUUUCUCCAACGUGAGAUGCUCCCAGGAGUCCUUUGGGAUUGUUUUCUGACUUUGACCAGGAUUUUGACGGAGAAGAUUCAUUAAUAUAGGACCCCUUGUCUUAACGUACAUAUGUAAAUGAUCUGAUGUGAAGUUUUCUGAAUGGAAAAUGAUUGAAAGGUUGGCAUGCAGUA